GCCUUCGUGGUGUAACGGUUAGCACACUCGGCGCGUAUUCUAGAAGUCCAGGUUCGAGUCCCGGCGAGGGCA
rnacentral:tRNA from 1 species